UGAGUCGGCUGGACGGUCGCGGGUGCGAAGCCGCGAGGCUGCACGCGAGGAAAGUCCGAGCUGCAAAGGGCAGGGUGCUGGGUAACACCCAGUGGGGGCGACCCCAAGGAAAGUGCCACAGAAACAUACCGCCCGCGAGGGCAAGGGUGAAAAGGUGGUGCAAGAGACCACCAGGGGCCGGGUGACCGGCCUGCUAGGCAAACCCCACCCGCAGCAAGACCAAAUAGGGGGAGGAUGAGGCGGCCCGCGGAGCUCCCCGGGUUGGUCGCUGGAGGCGGCAGGCGACUGCCGUCCUAGAUAGAUGAUCGUCCUCGACAGGACUCGGCUUACAGGCCGACUCACCGG
rnacentral:RNase_P_RNA from 1 species